UUUUUUUUUUAAAUCGCAGAAAAAAAAAUCGGAUGUGACUAAAUUCGCAGAGGAGACGAAUUCACGGCGAAGUGUAAAAAUAGAGAACGGGAAUAAUAACGACACUUGCAGGAAAAAGAGAGAUCCAAAGUAGGAAUGAAGCGAAAGACACAAGGAGGAAGGGUGGAAAAAAGAAGAAAAGGAAGGAGAAGAGGGAGAUGAAGGGGGGGCACACAACUAAUAGAAUAUGCAAGAAAGAGAAGGGGGGGGAGAGAGGGAGAGAGGGGGAGAGAGGGAGAGAGAGGGAGAGAGAGAGACCCAAAAAAUGAAUGCGUUUAAACGGUGAGCCUAGCGAAGCAAUGUUUCCGAAAGGGGGAUCUGCGCGAAUGUCUGUAUAUAGUGAACUUUGACACUACUAUUGAAA